CCAACAAGGCCUUUACUGACGCUAAAGCUCGAAGGUGCGGGUAUCGAACAGGAUUAGAUACCCUGGUAGUCCGCACGGUAAACGAUGGAUGCCCGCUGUUUGCGAUAUACUGUGAGCGGCCAAGAGAAAUCGUUAAGCAUCCCACCUGGGGAGUACGCCGGCAACGGUGAAACUCAAAGGAAUUGACGGGGGCCCGCACAAGCGGAGGAACAUGUGGUUUAAUUCGAUGAUACGCGAGGAACCUUACCCGGGCUUGAACUGCAGGAGAAGGAUACAGAGAUGUUGACGCCCUUCGGGGCUCCUGUGGAGGUGCUGCAUGGUUGUCGUCAGCUCGUGCCGUGAGGUGUCGGCUUAAGUGCCAUAACGAGCGCAACCCUUUUCGCCAGUUGCCAUCAGGUGAUGCUGGGCACUCUGGGGAUACUGCCACCGUAAGGUGUGAGGAAGGUGGGGAUGACGUCAAAUCAGCACGGCCCUUACGUCCGGGGCUACACACGUGGUACAAUGGGGAGUACAGAGAGUCGGUCGCACGCAAGUACGAUCCAAUCAUGAAAGCUCUCCUCAGUUCGGAUUGGGGUCUGCAACCCGACCCCAUGAAGCUGGA
rnacentral:rRNA from 1 species